rnacentral:ncRNA from 2 species
UUUGUUCUCAGCCAAACCUGUUGCAAAGCGGGGACGGAAAGCCACGGGUCCGCGUCCGCGGACAGCCGGGUUGCCUGC